rnacentral:sRNA from 1 species
UUACCACCAACUAUAAAACCAAGCAAGGAGGACUUCGUUUUGCUCAUCUUCUGGAUCAGGUCUCCAGAGUAGAUCCUGAAAUGAGGAUCCGCUUUACCUCUCCCCACCCCAAGGAUUUUCCCGAUGAGGUUCUGCAGCUGAUUCAUGAGAGAGAUAACAUCUGUAAACAGAUCCACCUGCCAGCCCAGAGUGGAAGCAGCCGUGUGUUGGAGGCCAUGCGGAGGGGGUCAGGCUUGCUUGGAGAGGGGGCAUCCCUCACUUUUCCAUGUUUCCUUAAUGACCAAACAGUGUCCUUGUUGCCAAGAACCUAGCAUAGUGUGUGGCACAAAGUAGCUGCUCAGUAAAUAUUUAUUGUAUGACUAAGCCACUGGGCACUGGAGUUUGCUUCUGCUCACUUCAUAAGCAAAGGCUAAGGACUGGUCACCCAUUUUCACUGUUUAGUUUAAAAAGCAUAAAUAUUUACUGAGCAGCUACUGUGUGACAGUAAGUAUUUAUUGUAUGACUAUGCCACGGGGCACUGGAGCUUGCUUCGCUAACUCCAUAACAUAGGCUAAGGACUGGGUCACCCAUUUUCACUGUUUAGUAUGUUUUUUUUUAAUUAAGCACCUACGGUGUGGCACACUCUGAGAUUUUAAUUCUUUAAUGUUAACAUUAAGGUUUUGUUACAUCUUGGAAUUUAAAUGUCGCUCUAUGUUUUCACUUUCUUUGAGAAUAAUAAGUAUUACACAGAUGAGACUGAA